ACGUAGGCAGCGAGCGUUGUUCGGAGUUACUGGGCGUAAAGGGUGUGUAGGCGGUUCUCUAAGUUUGGUGUGAAAUCUCCCGGCUUAACCGGGAGGGUGCGCCGAAAACUGGAGGGCUAGAGUGCGGGAUGGGAGAGUAGAAUUCCUGGUGUAGCGGUGAAAUGCGUAGAUAUCCGGAGGAACACCGGUGGCGAGGGCGGCUUCCUGGACCGACACUGACGCUGAGGCGCGAAAGCUAGGGGAGCAAACGGGA
rnacentral:rRNA from 1 species